rnacentral:ncRNA from 1 species
GUGAGCCGCAUGCGGGGAGACCCGCACGUACGGUUUUCAGGGGGAUCCGGCUGGCCGGCGCCCACCCGAC